rnacentral:rRNA from 1 species
UACGUAGGGGGCAAGCGUUGUCCGGAAUCAUUGGGCGUAAAGGGCGCGUAGGCGGCUUUUUAAGGGUGCGGUGAAAGCCCGGGGCUUAACCCCGGGUCGGCCGUGCCGACUGAAAAGCUGGAGCACUGUAGAGGCAGGUGGAAUUCCGGGUGUAGCGGUGGAAUGCGUAGAGAUCCGGAAGAACACCAGUGGCGAAGGCGGCCUGCUGGGCAGUUGCUGACGCUGAGGCGCGACAGCGUGGGGAGCAAACAGG